AGUGAACGCUGGCGGUAGGCCUAACACAUGCAAGUCGAACGGCAGCACAGUAAGAGCUUGCUCUUACGGGUGGCGAGUGGCGGACGGGUGAGGAAUACAUCGGAAUCUACUUUUUCGUGGGGGAUAACGUAGGGAAACUUACGCUAAUACCGCAUACGACCUACGGGUGAAAGCAGGGAAUCUUCGGACCUUGCGCGAUUGAAUGAGCCGAUGUCGGAUUAGCUAGUUGGCGGGGUAAAGGCCCACCAAGGCGACGAUCCGUAGCUGGUCUGAGAGGAUGAUCAGCCACACUGGAACUGAGACACGGUCCAGACUCCUACGGGAGCCAGCAGUGGGGAAUAUUGGACAAUGGGCGCAAGCCUGAUCCAGCCAUACCGCGUGGGUGAAGAAGGCCUUCGGGUUGUAAAGCCCUUUUGUUGGGAAAGAAAAGCAGCAGGUUAAUACCCCGCUGUUCUGACGGUACCCAAAGAAUAAGCACCGGCUAACUUCGUG
rnacentral:rRNA from 1 species